CCUACGGGAGGCAGCAGUAAGGAAUAUUGGUCAAUGGACGAAAGUCUGAACCAGCCAUGCCGCGUGAAGGACGAAGGUCCUCUGGAUUGUAAACUUCUUUUAUCUGGGACGAAAAAAGGGAAUUCUUUCUCACUUGACGGUACCAGAGGAAUAAGCACCGGCUAACUCCGUGCCAGCAGCCGCGGUAAUACGGAGGGUGCAAGCGUUAUCCGGAUUCACUGGGUUUAAAGGGAGCGUAGGUGGGUCUGUAAGUCAGUGGUGAAAUCUCCGAGCUUAACUCGGAAACUGCCAUUGAUACUAUAGGUCUUGAAUUAUCUGGAGGUAAGCGGAAUAUGUCAUGUAGCGGUGAAAUGCUUAGAUAUGACAUAGAACACCGAUUGCGAAGGCAGCUUACUACGGAUAUAUUGACACUGAGGCUCGAAAGCGUGGGGAUCAAACAGGAUUAGAUACCCUGGUAGUCCACGCCCUAAACGAUGGAUACUCGACAUCAGCGAUACACUGUUGGUGUCUGNGNGAGANAUAAGUAUCCACCGNGGUAAGGUACGACCGCGAGUAGUUAAGUUACAANAGAGUUAGACGGCGNGAGACGNGCGACGGACGACGACGAGGGAGGAGG
rnacentral:rRNA from 1 species